ensembl:lncRNA
AUGCACUCACACACGUCUUUAUCAUACCUCCCCUGCAUUCUCUCUAGGCCUGUCGGGGUAGUCUUGUAUUCCUCUCACCUCUCGUCUGUGUGUGUGUGUGUGUCUCUACAGGUAUGUGAUCUCCUACAGGAGCAGCUGUCUCUUCAGUCCCAGCUGAUUUAUGAUGCCCCCAUCAGUGCUGUUGGCUCUCCCAUCUCCGGCCGCUCGUCCAGGGCUCCCAGCCCACCGACAGCCAGCCGGCCCCCCACCUGCUGCUCUCCUUCCCCGGCGAGAGGAGGCAUGUACCGCUCAAGUAUCAGCCUCACCCCUGUCGUCCCUCCGCGCCCUGGAGCGGAGACCCACGAGCACGCACCAACAGACAGCCCAGGUCCGGACACAAGCCAGGGGACCGGGGAACUGCGCCUCCCCCAGGAGCCAAGAGGAGGUGGCACGGCAGGAGGUGGAAAUGCUCAUCUGCAGCAGAUCAUCGCAGAGAUCAAGCAGAACCUUGCUGAGGAGAUCAGGCAGGAGAUUUUGAAUGAGCUGUUGGCUGCCGUGUCGCCACGGCGAUCUCCUGUACCAGCAAGGGAGCCUCCGGCGUGACCUGGACCGUGAGCAGUGCGGUGAGCUUACCUAGCCCACACUGACGUCCUCUCUCCUGUUUGUCCCUGAAGGCAGUCCCAGUGUGCAGGCGGCGUGCAGUUCCCCCACAGGGUGCUUGAGAAACCUGAGCUGCAUCAUGAUGCAUCUAAAUACCUAAAACAAACACCUGUUUAUUUAGGUCUGUUGAUUAUUUAGGUCUGGUGGACUGAUUUAGGUCUGUUUGAUUUAUUUAGGUCUGUCGUUAUUUUGAGUGAGUGGUGGUCUUGCCUAUGCAGCCCAAGACAAGAAGCCAUGACACUGAAGUCUGAGUGAACACCGGUGAAGCCGUGCACUGCAGUCAGCUCAACAGCGCCCCUUGACUCCAUCAGACACUACUGCAGCAAUACUUGCUGCACCCACUCUUGUUCAGCCCGGCACUGCAGUGAGGACAUCAGACCUGACAUCAGUGCUGACCAGGUGUGUCCGCGGAGCUGAACCGGACUCCAUCUGCCAAGCAAACAUCCACCUUCUCCAUCUAGCCCAGUUCUUGGGCUUGUACCCACUACUCCAGUGGCAACAGUGGAUACACCUGCUCCACCCACUACGGGACACACCUGCCCAUCCGGAUACUACUGCCCUGCACCUUCUGUGAUGAGCUUGACUAGAAUAGGCUGCGUCCACCCACCUGCUCUGCCCGACUUCACCUUUUCUCAGUAUCACAGUUUUUGCGUCCUCUUAACAGUUCCAGAAUGACAUUCGGUCCUGCUCCAGGGAAAACUCUUUCCCUGAUCCCAGUUUUCCUGUUCUUAGCACAGGAAUCCCGCACGUUUCUAUGGUACCUUCCUGCCUCGAUGAAAGUUUCCUCCUGUAAUUUCUUGGCUGUAUUUAAGUUGAGUGUCUGUUUGUGUGUUUGGUACGGUGAAUGUGGCCACGCUUGAUUGCGUUGUGGGUGAGGGUGAAAAUGUGUAUGUCUGUGUGUGUCGGGGGUGUAUCCAUAUUGUGUGGGUGUGUCUGUAUGUCACUUUGGGUGCGUGUGGGUGUGUACAAAUAUUCGUGUGUCCUGGCCUGUGCGUAAGCGUGUGUAUUUGUGUGGAUACACGUGUGUGAAAAUCGUCUACUGUAAUCUGUCUUCUAACGCAGCCUCUGUGAGGUACUAACCGUGCAAUACGUUUCACGUUUUCAACUUGAACAGAUCAGUCACAACUGCUGUUUAUACGACUGCCACUUUAUAGAGGGAGAAAAAACUAAAAAAAAUGACAGAUGCCGUUAGAUGUUGUCAAGAGACCUUUACAAAUGCUAUGAGCUCGCCCUGCUCCUGGCUGAGUGACUAGUUCUCUUCUCUCCCCCGUCCUGUAAGAUUGGGCCCUCUCGCUCUCGUUAUUAUUAUUAAAGCAAAACACCCACAACUUGGUCAAGAUUCUAGCAUUUUGAAUCUAAAGAGAACACCUUCCUAAGUCGAGUGUGUUGUGUUUUGUGAAUAGUGUUUGAGGUGUGACGUCCGAACCAGGCUUGUACAGCUUCCUUCUCUGGGGCCUUAAUGAGUUGUAAUACUAAUUGAUUCACAUGACUACAUUUUUAGGGGACAUAAUAACUUCUCAUAUGGAUUGCAUGAGGGAUUUUUCUCUGAUUAAAAAUUUGUCCUUAAUAAAGAUUUAUUUAUUUUGAAUACAUAGAUGACUGUGGUUCAUUUUGUGUUCAGUGGUGGUUUGCUGGCGUUCAUACACUUCUGUUUCCAGGUUCUGGAUUCUGGAAUGUUUGGAUGUUGUGUUGUCAGCAUCCGUAAGAUGGGACAUUGCGGUUCCUGCACAGGUAUGACUGUGCUCAUACAAAAAGGAGGCGUGGUCUUCUCAUCUCUAACAGGCUUGGCACAGAACUGUAACUGAGGCAUACUUACCACCAACGACAGAGCUUUUAAUGCACAAGCUAACAGUGGACAAUAUUUAAGGACCAGAUUUACAGGUUGUGAAGGAAAUAAAUUGUAUUUUU